rnacentral:rRNA from 1 species
UACGGAGGGUGCAAGCGUUAUCCGGAUUUACUGGGUUUAAAGGGUGCGUAGGUGGGUCUGUAAGUCAGUGGUGAAAUCUCCGAGCUUAACUCGGAAACUGCCUUUGAUACUAUCUAUCUUGAAUAUCCUGGAGGUGAGCGGAAUAUGUCAUGUAGCGGUGAAAUGCUUAGAUAUGACAUAGAACACCGAUUGCGAAGGCAGCGCACUACGGGGUCAUUGACACUGAGGCACGAAAGCGUGGGGAUCAAACAGG